AUUGAACGCUGGCGGCAUGCCUUACACAUGCAUGUCGAACGGUAACAGGUCUUCGGAUGCUGACGAGUGGCGAACGGGUGAGUAAUACAUCGGAACGUGCCUAGUAGUGGGGGAUAACUACUCGAAAGAGUGGCUAAUACCGCAUGAGAUCUACGGAUGAAAGCAGGGGAUCGCAAGACCUUGUGCUACUAGAGCGGCCGAUGGCAGAUUAGGUAGUUGGUGGGAUAAAAGCUUACCAAGCCGACGAUCUGUAGCUGGUCUGAGAGGACGAUCAGCCACACUGGGACUGAGACACGGCCCAGACUCCUACGGGAGGCAGCAGUGGGGAAUUUUGGACAAUGGGCGCAACCCUGAUCCAGCAAUGCCGCGUGCAGGAUGAAGGCCUUCGGGUUGUAAACUGCUUUUGUACGGAACGAAAAGCCCUGGGUUAAUACCCUGGGGUCAUGACGGUACCGUAAGAAUAAGCACCGGCUAACUACGUGCCAGCCGCCGCAGUAA
rnacentral:rRNA from 1 species